UACAGAGGGGGCAAGCGUUAUUCGGAAUUAUUGGGCGUAAAGGGCGCGUAGGCGGCCUGGCAAGUGGAAGGUGAAAUCCCUCGGCUUAACCGAGGAACUGCCCUCCAAACUGCUUGGCUUGAGACCGGGAGAGGUGAGUGGAAUUCCCAGUGUAGCGGUGAAAUGCGUAGAUAUUGGGAGGAACACUAGUGGCGAAGGCGGCUCACUGGACCGGUACUGACGCUGAGGCGCGAAAGCGUGGGGAGCAAACGGG
rnacentral:rRNA from 1 species